UUCUGAUCCGGGUGGCACGUUAAAUUCCUCCGGGUGUUGGUUGAGCAGAUGUGGAGGAGAUUGGCCACUGCACUGCUGCAAAAUUAACGGCUGAGAUUAUAGGUCUACAAUGGGAAUGACCCAAAUGUUUUCUCACUUUUAUUUUUAUUUCUUUCCAGAGGAGAGUUUUUUAUAAACACUGAUGCGUAACGACAUUGAGAAGGAGGCUGCAUUAUGUAACCUUGAGGAGGAAAGCUGGAUUUGAGCACGCCGCAAUUAAGCCCGUAUUGUAAAUAACUGCAGGAGAGCUUGUGGGAGCACCCGAGUGCUGGACGCUUCUUCAAAACACAGAUGGAUUUUCCAUUCAUGGUUUACACUUUGUACCUCGUUGCCAACAUCGCCAUCGCUGCUCGCUGCCCUGUGUGCCUCUCCUCUCACGUGGCAGCAGGGCAAGAAAGCCAUGAGAACACGGAACCAGGCCGUCAGGAUGAGCAGGAAUUUCCAGAGCAUCCUGUUGCACAGAGCUGGUGGGGUGAUGAUGGCACAGACUGGGCUCCAAGCUCUGCUCUUCUCCUUGGGCAGCUCUCCGUCCUGUACUGCUGCGUUGAGUGUCACACCCAAGGAAAGAGCCACCUGGUACAGCAGCAGGGGAAGAGCUACAAUAUAGUUGGAAUGAAACUGGGAUGA
rnacentral:lncRNA from 1 species